UGGGGAAUAUUGCACAAUGGGCGCAAGCCUGAUGCAGCCAUGCCGCGUGUAUGAAGAAGGCCUUCGGGUUGUAAAGUACUUUCAGUCGGGAGGAAGGUGUCAAGGUUAAUAACCUUGGCAAUUGACGUUACCGACAGAAGAAGCACCGGCUAACUCCGUGCCAGCAGCCGCGGUAAUACGGAGGGUGCAAGCGUUAAUCGGAAUUACUGGGCGUAAAGCGCACGCAGGCGGUUGAUUGAGUCAGAUGUGAAAUCCCCGGGCUUAACCCGGGAAUUGCAUCUGAUACUGGUCAGCUAGAGUCUUGUAGAGGGGGGUAGAAUUCCAUGUGUAGCGGUGAAAUGCGCAGAGAUGUGGAGGAAUACCGGUGGCGAAGGCGGCCCCCUGGACAAAGACUGACGCUCAGGUGCGAAAGCGUGGGGAGCAAACAGG
rnacentral:rRNA from 1 species